GAUUCUGGCUCAGAACGAACGCUGGCGGCGCGUUUAAGCAUGCAAGUCGAGCGGCAAGGCCUCGGGCCCCUAGAGCGGCGGACGGGUGAGUAACACGUGGACAAUCUGCCCCCCGGCCCGGGAUAGCCCAGGGAAACCUGGAUUAAUACCGGAUGAGACGGGACCCGCGAUGGCGGGAUCCGGGAAAGGCGCUGCGGCGCCGCCGGGGGAUGAGUCUGCGUCCCAUUAGCUAGACGGCGGGGUAACGGCCCACCGUGGCGACGGUGGGUAGCCGGCCUGAGAGGGUGGACGGCCACAUUGGAACUGAGACACGGUCCAGACUCCUACGGGAGGCAGCAGCUAAGAAUCUUCCGCAAUGGGCGAAAGCCUGACGGAGCGACGCCGCGUGAACGAAGAAGGCCGUGAGGUUGUAAAGUUCUUUCGGGAGGGGGAACAACCGUGGCAGGGAAUGGCCGCGGGAUGACGUGAAUCCCGGAAUAAGCCCCGGCUAACUACGUGCCAGCAGCAGC
rnacentral:rRNA from 1 species